rnacentral:misc_RNA from 1 species
GAAAUGCGAUAAGUAGUGUGAAUUGCAGAAUUCAGUGAAUCAUCGAAUCUUUGAACGCACAUUGCGCCCCUUGGUAUUCCAUGGGGCAUGCCUGUUCGAGCGUCAUCUACACCCUCAAGCUCUGCUUGGUGUUGGGCGUCUUUGUCCCGCCUCCGCGCGCGGACUCGCCCCAAAUUCAUUGGCAGCGGUCCUUGCCUCCUCUCGCGCAGCACAUUGCGCUUCUCGAGGUGUUGCGGCCCGCGUCCAGAAAGCAAUCGUUACCGUCUUUGACCUCGGAUCAGGUAGAGAUACCCGCUGAACUUAAGC